GGAAUCAACGCUGGCGGCGUGCCUAACACAUGCAAGUCGAACGAGAAAGUGGAGCAAUCCAUGAGUAAAGUGGCGCACGGGUGAGUAACACGUGACUAACCUACCCUUGAGUGGGGAAUAACUUCGGGAAACCGAGGCUAAUACCGCAUAACACCUACGGGUCAAAGGAGCAAUUCGCUUAAGGAGGGGGUCGCGGCAGAUUAGUUAGUUGGCGGGGUAAUGGCCCACCAAGACGGUGAUCUGUAU
rnacentral:rRNA from 1 species